CCUACGGGUGGCUGCAGUGGGGAAUAUUGGACAAUGGGCGAAAGCCUGAUCCAGCCAUGCCGCGUGUGUGAAGAAGGCCUUCGGGUUGUAAAGCACUUUCAGUGGGGAAGAAAGCCUUGGGGCUAAUACCCUCGAGGAAGGACAUCACCCACAGAAGAAGCACCGGCUAACUCCGUGCCAGCAGCCGCGGUAAUACGGAGGGUGCGAGCGUUAAUCGGAAUUACUGGGCGUAAAGCGCGCGUAGGCGGUCUGAUAAGCCGGUUGUGAAAGCCCCGGGCUCAACCUGGGAACGGCAUCCGGAACUGUCAGGCUAGAGUGCAGGAGAGGAAGGUAGAAUUCCCGGUGUAGCGGUGAAAUGCGUAGAGAUCGGGAGGAAUACCAGUGGCGAAGGCGGCCUUCUGGACUGACACUGACGCUGAGGUGCGAAAGCGUGGGUAGCAAACAGGAUUAGAUACCCGUGUAUUC
rnacentral:rRNA from 1 species